CACUUCCUGCGCUGCUAGAUUUGUUGCAGUCAUGUUUAAUCCUACUAAACAUUUAAAGGGAGCUCGGAGUCCAAUGAAAGGGAUUGCAGACCUCCCGCCCGAUUUCGGUCGCCAGCGGAAGAAGGGAGCAUGAAACUUCGGCAGAGCACCCACCUGCCAUUAUGGUAGGUUUGUUUGGCUGCAGACGGCAGAGGCGGGGAGUUU
rnacentral:other from 2 species